rnacentral:rRNA from 1 species
AGUUGGAAACGACUGUUAAUACCGCAUAAUAUCUGUGGAUUAAAGGUGGCUUUCGGGCUGUCGCAGAUGGAUGAGCCUGCGUUGGAUUAGCUAGUUGGUGGGGUAAGGGCCCACCAAGGCUACGAUCCAUAGCUGAUUUGAGAGGAUGAUCAGCCACAUUGGGACUGAGACACGGCCCAAACUCCUACGGGAGGCAGCAGUGGGGAAUAUUGGACAAUGGGGGCAACCCUGAUCCAGCAAUGCCAUGUGUGUGAAGAAGGCCCUAGGGUUGUAAAGCACUUUAGUUGGGGAGGAAAGCCUCAAGGUUAAUAGCCUUGGGGGAGGACGUUACCCAAAGAAUAAGCACCGGCUAACUCCGUGCCAGCAGCCGCGGUAAUACGGGGGGUGCAAGCGUUAAUCGGAAUUACUGGGCGUAAAGGGUCUGUAGGUGGUUUGUUAAGUCAGAUGUGAAAGCCCAGGGCUCAACCUUGGAACUGCAUUUGAUACUGGCAAACUAGAGUACGGUAGAGGAAUGGGGAAUUUCUGGUGUAGCGGUGAAAUGCGUAGAGAUCAGAAGGAACACCAAUGGCGAAGGCAACAUUCUGGACCGAUACUGACACUGAGGGACGAAAGCGUGGGGAUCAAACAGGAUUAGAUACCCUGGUAGUCCACGCUGUAAACGAUGAGUACUAGCUGUUGGAGUCGGUGUAAAGGCUCUAGUGGCGCAGCUAACGCGAUAAGUACUCCGCCUGGGGACUACGGCCGCAAGGCUAAAACUCAAAGGAAUUGACGGGGACCCGCACAAGCGGUGGAGCAUGUGGUUUAAUUCGAUGCAACGCGAAGAACCUUACCUGGUCUUGACAUCCUGCGAACUUUCUAGAGAUAGAUUGGUGCCUUCGGGAGCGCAGUGACAGGUGCUGCACGGCUGUCGUCAGCUCGUGUUGUGAAAUGUUGGGUUAAGUCCCGCAACGAGCGCAACCCCUAUUGAUAGUUACCAUCAUUAAGUUGGGUACUCUAUUGAGACUGCCGCUGACAAGGCGGAGGAAGGUGGGGACGACGUCAAGUCAUCAUGGCCCUUACGACCAGGGCUACACACGUGCUACAAUGGGUAUUACAGAGGGCUGCGAAGGUGCGAGCUGGAGCGAA